UCCUUGGAAAAACUCAGCAAAGCCCUGGCUCAUUAAAGGGAGAUAGAGAGCGACAGUGACAGCCACUGUCCUGCUGCCCAUAGAGCUUUGCUGUUGUGGACAGAGAGCUGGUGAGAGUAGGGGCAGGAUGCCAUCCAGCAGUGCUCAAUGCCCUGAGACCACCAAACAGCUGCACAGCAUUUAGCCCAGGCUUGACAUCAGUUCCUGCUCACAGCUGCCAGGGGCUUGGCAAAACUCUGCUGUCACCCAUCUUCUCCCUUCCACCCGCCUGUCACUGGAGGGGUCAUAAACUGGCAUCCUUCCUUCUCCAUGAAAUGAGCAGAUGCCAGUUUUUUACUGGGUGAAGGAGGCUUCCACACCUGUUUGGGUCCAUCUCCUUCUGGUCCUUCCCAUAGGACAGAAUCCCCCAGCCCCCUGUUGCCUGUGGCAGUAGUAGGAAUCAGAAUCUCCUCUGCCACAUCCCACUCCUGCUCUCGCCUUUCUCAUUUUUCAGCACAGCUUUGCUUGAAACAGUGGCACAGCCUGCAAGCCAGGAAUGGUGGUGGAGCAAGGCCUCCUUCCCAAUUCAUCACUAAUGCAGGAACGUCAAGCCCUUUCUGGCUGCAGUGAGCACCAGAUAAAAGCUAAAAGAGGCAUCAAUAAUUAAGAACCACUCAGAGCUGGACAGACUCCAGCCAGGAUGAGGCCCCUCUUUGUGCCAGAUACUGGUAUACAUGGCCUGGGAAAUUCAUGUUGUCUGAGGGUUCCAUGAACUUGUCCCUGCUGAAUUCAAGGCUCCUCAUUCAAGUAUCCAAGCUGUGCUGCUCCAGGGCCCAUGUCAAUCAGUAAUGGAGGGCGAGCAAGACAUGUGUGACAUCCAUCACUCCAGAGCUGCCUGUUCCAGGUUUACCUGUGUCACUCUCCGAGACGGAAGAGCAGAGAAACUGCCUAGGGAAAACUGGCAAUUUUUGGUGAGGAGUUUUGAAAAAUGUGCAAAGCGUCUUCUCAGUCUCUCCUUCCCUUGAAACACAAUCUGAAGUGUUUCCAGCUUUUGAAAAACACUUUCCUUAAAUAAAACCCCCACAACUCUCCCAAUAAGGCAACAAACAAAAAAAACCUCUAAAACUUUACAUUUGAAUUAAAAUAUGUAUAUUCAUAUGUGCAGAUAUAUGAUGCACACACAGAGACAUGUAUGUGGGAGGGUUUUAGGGGGCUUUGGAGCUAGUGCCGGGCUGGUGUCCAUCCCUGCCUGUGUCACCGGACCUACCCAGUGAACAUCUGUGGCCAGGGAAGGUAAACGGGCAAGUGCUGGGGCUGAGAGUCUGGGGCCAACCUGGCAGGGGAAACAGGGGAUGACAUGGAGGCAAGAGGAGGGAGAGCCUCCUGUGCCCACCACCUUGCCCCUGCCCCUGCCGCCAGCAUGCAGCAAGUAAAUAACAAAAUGAAUAAAAG